rnacentral:rRNA from 1 species
UACAGAGGUCUCAAGCGUUGUUCGGAUUCAUUGGGCGUAAAGCGUGUGUAGGCGGCCACGUAAGUCGGAUGUGAAAGCCCCAGGCUCAACCUGGGAAGUGCACUCGAUACUGCGUGGCUUGAGUAUCGGAGAGGUUGGUGGAAUUCUCGGUGUAGAGGUGAAAUUCGUAGAUAUCGAGAGGAACACCGGUGGCGAAGGCGGCCAACUGGACGAAUACUGACGCUGAGACACGAAAGCGUGGGGAGCAAACAGG